rnacentral:rRNA from 1 species
CGCGUAAUGUCUAAGGACCAAAGGGGUGGGACUGUGAGAGGCCACCUGCCAUUUGAUGAGCCCAAGUGGGAUUAGGUAGUUGGUGAGGUAAGGGCUCACCAAGCUGACGAUCUCUAGCUGGUCUGAGAGGAUGGCCAGCCACACUGGAACUGAGACACGGUCCAGACUCCUACGGGAGGCAGCAGUGGGGAAUAUUGCGCAAUGGGGGGAACCCUGACGCAGCCAUGCCGCGUGAAUGAAGAAGGCCUUCGGGUUGUAAAGUUCUUUCGGUGAUGAGGAAGGCGAUUAGUUUAAGAGAUUAAUUGAUUGACGAUAAUCACAGAAGAAGCACCGGCUAACUCCGUGCCAGCAGCCGCGGUAAUACGGAGGGUGCGAGCGUUAAUCGGAAUGACUGGGCGUAAAGGGCACGCAGGUGGUGACUUAAGUGAGGUGUGAAAUCCCCGGGCUUAACCUGGGAACAGCAUUUCAGACUGGGUGACUAGAGUACUUUAGGGAGGGGUAGAAUUCCACGUGUAGCGGUGAAAUGCGUAGAGAUGUGGAGGAAUACCGAAGGCGAAGGCAGCCCCUUGGGAAGAUACUGACGCUCGAGUGCGAAAGCGUGGGGAGCAAACAGGAUUAGAUACCCUGGUAGUCCACGCUGUAAACGAUGUCGAUUUGGGGAUUGGGUGAAUACUUGGUGCCCG